GUUUUUUCAAGAAGCAGGAUUCAAGGUUUAACUUCAAAUACAAAUUUGAAUCAACACUAAAUUUUAGGAGUGCAUAAUGAAAGAGAAGAUGUUCAAAAGAAAACAUUCACAAAAUGGGUAAAUGCACAAUUUUCUAAGGUCUGUGCAGGCCAAGGUUAUGGCCUAGCUGAGAAGAGGGCUCAGAGGAGCCUAGCUAAAGUUUGGUCAAGGGGAGCGUCUUGGUGGAGCCUCACUCCUGUUCAAGUAAAGAAGACACAUUAUUCAUCCUUCUGAACAGUUUUGGGAAGCAGCAUAUUGAGAACCUCUUCAGUGACCUACAGGAUGGGAGGCGCCUCCUAGACCUCCUCGAAGGCCUGACAGGGCAAAAACUG
rnacentral:lncRNA from 1 species